rnacentral:rRNA from 1 species
UACGUAGGAGGCGAGCGUUAUCCGGAAUUAUUGGGCGUAAAGCGCGCGUAGGCGGGGUGGUGCGUCGUGCGUGAAAGGUUGGGGCUCAACCCCAACAUGUCGCAUGAUACGGCCGCUCUUGAGGACGGUAGGGGAUGGUGGAAUUCCGCGAGGAGUGGUGAAAUGCGUAGAGACGCGGAGGAACACCGGUGGCGAAGGCGGCCAUCUGGGCCGCUCCUGACGCUGAGGCGCGAAAGCCAGGGGAGCGAACGG